AAGGUAAACGCAUUAAUACACGUGAUAGGAUGUAGAUGAUGGUAAAUUUACAAUAAGCUUUGAAACUGGAGUUGGAAAUUCGAUAUGUUAUUCUCAUAAAAGGCACGACAGUUUACCUCCAUGCUGCGGUGUACCUCCACCUGUGCCAAUCACUCGUUAUCACACAUACACACACUAUCACAAAUCUGUCUAGAAAAUUUUUGCGUGUUGUAAAUAAAAGUUUUGUUUUUGUUAAUAAUUGAGAUUUCAUUUUUACUCUCUCCUUCCUGUGAAUUAUAACUAGUUAAACUCGAUUUAGCGCCAUAGUAACAGUUUGUUUUCAUUGUUGUUGCUACGGAUCCGAUUCGUAAAAAUAUCUUGAUUUCAAUCAUAAUAACUUAGUUUAAUUCUAUGAUAAAUACCUAACGUAUUGCGUCGUGUUUCGUUAUUGAGUUACAAUUAAGUUUUGUCUUGCCUGUAAUUAAUUUUUUAUACAUUUUAAGUAGCAGCCCUGAACAGCGGUUUACGGUUCUACGUUGUAUAAGCUUACAUUACAAUUAGUUAACAAUCAAACACAUAAAAGGUACAUUUAUAAUCUAUAUUGUAAUACAAGAAAAACAAUUAUGGAAGUUAUUAUGCAAGAACACUUCGAAAAAAUGUAUCAAUUCUAUGAGGACAAAGAGUUUUGUGAUGUAACCUUGGUUACCGGUGAAGGCUUAAAAGUAGAAGCACACAGAAAUAUAUUGGCUUCUGUGAGUAAUGUAUUUUAUACGAUGUUCAGCGGUCAGUUUAGAGAAAGAAACGAAAAUGAGAUUCUUAUAAAAGACAUAGAUUCUGAAAUUUUAGAAUUAGUGGUCAAAUUUGCAUAUACUUGUAAACUGGAUAUUGAAGAAAACAAUUUUGAAAAACUGUUGAUGGCUGCUAAUAUGUAUAGUCUAAAUCAUAUAAAAGAGUUAUGUUUUAAAUAUAUUAAAGAAAAUAUAAAUCCUACCAAUUGUGUGAGUUUUAUGAAAAAUUCCAAAUUAAUAUCAGAUGAAAAGAUUUACAAUUUUUGUUGGUCAUAUUUUUUAAACCAUUUCACGUGAGUAAUCAGUACAAUUGUGAAUUUGGACCAAGCAUUAGAAACACUUUAUGACUUUGAGUUUGAUGAUGUCGAGUUUAUUGCACGUGAUGAUUUAGUAAUCGAUUCUGAAGAAAAGAUAUUUGAUUUUAUCAUUGGUUGGAUACGCUAUAACACAGAUGACCGUAAUGACUUGUUACCGGUUCUUAUGAAAUAUUUACGUUUGGCUUUAAUUUCAAAAGAAGGACUACAAAAGAUUUAUAAUGAACCAUUAGUGAGAAAUAAUAAUGAUGUUAUGAGAGGCAUGUUGGAAACAAUUAUUACUCACGACUGUUUAAAACCAUCAUAUACUCAAGGAAGAUGUACUCAAAUUGAAUCAUCAAAUAUUAUUUUUGCAAACGCUGGUCAUUCAAACAGUGCCGGUUCCUAUGUAAAGUAUAUGGAUAUUAGCAACGUUAAUGACUUAAAUUGAAAAUCAAGCGAUCAUUUAUUUUUUUUGCCUCCCCGUAAAGGCUCAAAGAUGGUAGUCUCUGAUAAUGGGAUGAUACUUGCCAUUAAUGGUUCAAAUGAGUCUGGUGUUAAUGUAAAUCUUGUAGACGAGCUUGAUCUUAAGUUAAAAUCAAAACAAUGGGUUUCUACAUGGCCGUUGAAUCAAUCGCGAAAAAAUUUUGCUGUUUGUACUUACAAGCAGUAUAUAUAUGUCGUUGGAGGCUAUGAUUUAUCAAAUAGUAAUCGUUUGAAUUCUGUAGAAUACUAUGAUAUAAUUUCAAAAGUAUGGAUCGAAAUUACUGAGCCAAUGUCUACUGCUCGAUCCUCGUGCAGUGCUGCAGUAUUUAAUAAUAAAUUAUAUGUUUUUGGUGGAUGUGAUAAUUAUGAUUCUCUUGCAACUGUAGAGUACUAUGAUCUUGAAAAGAAACACUGGCAACAACUCGAUCCUAUGCCGAUAUGUAAUUAUAGUGUAAUGAUUAUAUUGUACUCAUUGAAUCAUUUACAUGUAAUAUCAUAAUACAUAAUACACAACACACAAUACAUGAAAUUAUAUGCACUAAAAAUACCUCUAUAUAUGAUAAGAUUAUAUGCACUAAAUUCAAUAUAUGCACUAAUCAAAAAUGUCAAUUAUAUAAGAUCAAUUAUAUGCACAAAUAAUAAUAUCGCACACAAUUAUUUAUAUAUUAUUUCAAAUACAGUAUUUUAUAAAAGUAUUAAAGGAUGUACUAAAAUAAACAUGACACAUAACAUAUGCUGACUCAUACCAUACAAUUGUACGCUUGGAUGAUUAUCCUAGGAAACAUUUCAUACCUCACCCCCUGCUAAUGACGUAUUUACUCCCUAUAUAAGACAAUACGACGGGCUUGUCGCCGCUCAGUCGUUUAGCUACAAUCGUCUGCAACUUAUCAAUUAUUUAAUUGUUAAGGCAGGGUAAGCGUAGCUAACCGAUUCUUUUCGUAAUUGUUUAUGGUUUUGACUCAGUGUAUGUUCCAAGUCCUAUGCACACCAAAACAUUGUGUUUAUUUAUUUGUUUCAUUUAAUAAUUCGUCUGUUAAUUUAGCUAUCUUAACAUAGUCCGAGAGACUGACCUGGUUCAUUUAAUUCUCUUGAGAAGCGUAAAGCAGCUCUAGGGAUCCAAUUCCUUUGAAUUAAAUUAUUCACUUGGAAUUUGGAUGUUCUCGUCAGCGAUUGGAAAAUUUAAGUAGUUAAGUAGUUAAUUAAUUAGUGUUUAGCUAAGGGAAGACAACUAGAGUAGCGGCUGUUUAGUGAGGUUAAAUAUGGACCCUUAAGGUCUGUUGCUUCUAAAUAUCGCAGCCUAGUAGUCUGAUCUUCUAAACGAAUUUGUGUAGUCCUCUGACUAGUUAUCACGUAGCAUGCUAGAGGAUCACCAAGUUAAAGACGCUUAAAAAUAUAUCUGAAAAGGGUAACUUCAUUUGGACGAACAGGAAUACACUCCGAGCCGGAUCAUUAAUACAUUACACCUAGUAGUACGCGUGUUAUUAAGUAAAACUUUCGGUAUCUAUUAGAAACUAACGAGUUCGGUAAGUGCGUGUCGUACGGGACUUCUAUUUUCAGUCACUACAGACAACAAAGGAACAACGGAGGACAGCGAGACAACGCAUUUCCACUCUAUAGCUGAGCCAUAAGGUACGUGAAAGCUUAUUAACACCAGCAUACUAUUGUAGUAAUAGGAUAUGGAAGAGUAGGACACAUUUAAAAGCACACAUACAUAUAUUAAAAAUAAUAUCAUAAAGACAUCACAGAUUACCCCUCCUAUCCCUAUUUUUAGCCACCAUCUUUAUUACUACAAUAGCAUGGGCGUGUCAAGAAUAGAUAAAGUCCUUUAUCUCAUUGGUGGUUCUUGUGCACUUUGACGAGUUUUUAAAUUCGAUUUACAAAAUUUCAAAUGGGAAGAAAUGCCUAACAUGAACAUGGAUUGUAAUGGAUAUUGCUCAACAAGUCUGUAUAUAUUUAACCAAGUAUAUAAUACAUUUUUUUACUCAUAAAUAUUAUUAAAUGCAGGUGUUGGUAUCAUGAAAAACGAUUAUUCGUGUUUGUGAAUAAUCAAGGAAAACUUCAUUGUGAAAGAUAUGACAGAGGAAAAAAUCAAUGGCAAUUGGUUGAUAGGGUAGGAGAGUCAUUAAACCUAACUAGUCAUAUCAUUACUUUCAAUGAUAUUACUCUUAAAUCCUAUGGUAUUCAAUUAUGAUAAUAUUUUUUUUUUAAAUACCUUUUUAUGAAUUCAAUUUAGUCUCGAAAUUAUUUAUACAUUUUGUUGUUGAUUUUUUUUUGUAUUUGUUAAUACUUUGGAAGGACUUCAUUGUAAAAUAUGUUACACAAAGAAUACAUGGCAUCUGGUUGUCAGAGCAGAAGAGACUUCAAACGUUUUUGUUAUAAUAUUGUUUUAGUAUAAUGGUAUUCCCUUAUAAUAUUACUUUUAAUAAUUAAAUCCAAUUUGUUAUUAUAUCUUAAAUACAUU